GCAGAAAUGGCCAAGUGGUUAAGGCGACUGACUAGAAAUCAGUUUCUCUCUAGGAGUGUAGUUUCGAAUCCUACCAUCUGUG
rnacentral:tRNA from 1 species